AUAGCUUCUCAGACUUUUGGCUAAGAUUUAGUGAUCUGUUUUUAUCAGUUUAAUAUCUGGAAUGUCUUCUAUCUGAAGACAAUAUAUUAAAUGGGUUUUUGAAGCAGGGAGAUGGAAUAGGAGCUUGCUUGAUCCACUCCACACAUCAACCUAGUAUUGCAGUACCUCCAGGAAUGGUGAACCCCCC
ensembl:snRNA U2 U2 spliceosomal RNA